AUUGAACGCUGGCGGCAGGCCUAACACAUGCAAGUCGAGCGCGAAAGUUCUUCGGAAUGAGUAAAGCGGCGGACGGGUGAGUAAUACAUGGGAGUCUGCCUGGUAGUGGGGGACAACGUUUCGAAAGGAACGCUAAUACCGCAUACGCCCUACGGGGGAAAGGGGGGAUCUUCGGACCUCUCGCUAUCAGAUGAGCCCAU
rnacentral:rRNA from 1 species